UACGAAGGGGACUAGCGUUGUUCGGAUUUACUGGGCGUAAAGCGCGCGUAGGCGGAUCGCUAAGUCAGGGGUGAAAUCCCAGGGCUCAAUCCUGGAACUGCCUUUGAUACUGACGAUCUGGAGAUCGGGAGAGGUUGGUGGAAUUCCGAGUGUAGAGGUGAAAUUCGUAGAUAUUCGGAGGAACACCAGAAGCGAAGGCGGCCAACUGGCCCGAUACUGACGCUGAGGCGCGAAAGCGUGGGGAGCAAACAGG
rnacentral:rRNA from 1 species